UACUGCGUAAAAUUAUUGUAUCGCAUGGUAUAAUAAUCAAAUCUACGGAGGAUACAGAUGGGCAUGCGUGCCAUUAGCUAGAUGGUAAGGUAACGGCUUACCAUGGCAAUGAUGGCUAGGGGUUCUGCAAGGAAGAUCCCCCACACUGGUACUGAGACACGGACCAGACUCCUACGGGAGGCAGCAGUGAGGAAUAUUGGUCAAUGGAGGCAACUCUGAACCAGCCAAGCCGCGUGAAGGAAGACUGUUCUAUGAAUUGUAAACUUCUUUUGUGACAGAGUAAAGAUAGCUACGCGUAGUUAUUUGCAAGUAUGUCAUGAAUAAGCAUCGGCUAACUCCGUGCCAGCAGCCGCGGUAAUACGGAAGAUGCAGGCGUUAUCCGGAUUUAUUAGGUUUAAAGGGUGUUCAGGCUGUCUGGUAAGUCAGAGGUGAAAGUCGGUUGCUUAACGAUCGAAUUGCCUUUGAAACUGUCAGACUUGAGUAUGGAUGUGGUAGGCGGAAUGUGUAGUGUAGCGGUGAAAUGCAUAGAUAUUACACAGAACUCCAAUUGCGAAGGCAGCUUACCAAACCAGCACUGACGCUGAAGCACGAAAGCGUGGGUAGCGAACAGGAUUAGAUACCCUGGUAGUCCACGCAGUAAACGAUGCUCACUCGCUGUUGGCAAUACACCGUCAGCGGCUAAGGGAAACCGAUAAGUGAGCCACCUGGGGAGUACGAUCGCAAGAUUGAAACUCAGAGGAAUUGACGGGGGCCCGCACAAGCGGUGGAACAUGUGGUUUAAUUCGAUGAUACGCGAGGAACCUUACCUGGGCUUAAAUGUGAAGUGCAUUGUUUGGAAACAGACAUUUCCUUCGGGACUCUUUACAAGGUGCUGCAUGGUUGUCGUCAGCUCGUGCCGUGAGGUGUCGGGUUAAGUCCCAUAACGAGCGCAACCCCUAUUGUUAGUUACCAGCGCGUCAAGGCGGGGACUCUAACGAGACUGCCGGUGUAAACCGCGAGGAAGGUGGGGAUGACGUCAAAUCAGCACGGCCCUUAUGUCCAGGGCUACACACGUGUUACAAUGGUCGGUACAGAGGGCAGCUAGACAGCAAUGUCAAGCGAAUCUCAAAAGCCGAUCCCAGUUCGGAUUGGAGUCUGCAACCCGACUCCAUGAAGGUGGAAUCGCUAGUAAUCGCGCAUCAGCCAUGGCGCGGUGA
rnacentral:rRNA from 1 species